rnacentral:tRNA from 1 species
GCCGGGGUGGCCGAGCGGACUAAGGCGGUGGCCUGGAGAGCCACUGCCCCCUGCGGGGCGCCCGGGUUCGAAUCCCGGCCCCGGCGCCA